CUCCAGCUGACGAGUCCCAAAUAGGAUGAAACACGCGUCCUGGAU
rnacentral:hammerhead_ribozyme from 1 species